rnacentral:misc_RNA from 1 species
GAUGAAGAACGUAGCGAAAUGCGAUACUUGGUGUGAAUUGCAGAAUCCCGUGAACCAUCGAGUCUUUGAACGCAAGUUGCGCCCGAAGCCAUUAGGCCGAGGGCACGCCUGCCUGGGUGUCACACACCGUUACCCUCGCGCCAACGUCCAUCGUUGGCCGCGGCGCGGGGCGUGCGCUGACCUCCCGCGAGCGGGGUCUCGUGGUUGGUUGAAAAUCGAGUUCGCGGUCGAGGGUGCCGUGAUGAAAUGGUGGAUGGGCGACGCCCGAGGCCAAUCACGCGCGACUCUGUCCGGCUCGGUCUCCUGGACCCCUUCGGCGUCUCCGGACGCUCUUUGGCGAGACCUCAGGUCAGGCGGGGCUACCCGCUGAGUUUAAGCAUAUCAAUAAGCGGAGGA